UUCCGUAGGUGAACCUGCGGAAGGAUCAUUCGCACAUAUCCUAAAAACCACCGUGCAUCUUUCGCGUGAAGCUUGCCUGCUGUGGAUGGAGAGAACCAAAAGGAAAUCGAUACCCACAAGGUUAUUGCUUCCAGGGCUUCAGGGGUUGGAGGGGUCAAGACCUGCUUCUGCCUUUGUUGCUGAAGGAACUCAUCCUUUGGGAUGGGAGUGCCUCACAUUCUGUUCUAUUCCAUCUUGUUGUCAAGAUGAGUUCUUUGGACUUAGUUGUCCUUUCGAUGUGUGCUAAUUGCAACUUUCAGCGAUGGAUGUCUUGGCUCGAAUACUGAUGAAGGGCGCAGCGAAGUGUGAUGAGCAUUGUGAAUUGCAGAAUUCCGUGAAUCAAUAGUAACUUGAAUGUGCAUUGCGCUUUCGGGAUAUCCCUGAAAGCAUGUCUGCUUCAGAGUCUCUGUUACCUUCUGCCAGCAGUCUUCCCUGCAGUUCUUGCGGUGGUACUGUUGCGCAUGCUUGUGUGUCAAGGCGUUCCAUGGCGCCCUUGGCACAUGCAGCGCAUUGGAUUCUCCUCAGGGAAAGCAAAGUGUCAAGUGCCACUAAUCUGGCUCUGCCCCUUUUGCUUGCCUGGGACGGAGUCCUUGUGUGAGGCGCGCAUCCUUGCGCGCCUCUCCAAGACAUGAAGUCAGACCAGCAAACCCGCUGAAUUUAAGCAUAUCAACA
rnacentral:rRNA from 1 species